rnacentral:rRNA from 1 species
GCAGUCGACGCUGAAGCCUGGUGCUUGCACCGGGUGGAUGAGUGGCGAACGGGUGAGUAACACGUGAGUAACCUGCCCCUGACUUCGGGAUAAGCCCGGGAAACUGGGUCUAAUACCGGAUACGACUGCCGGACGCAUGUCUGGUGGUGGAAAGUUUUUUCGGUUGGGGAUGGGCUCGCGGCCUAUCAGUUUGUUGGUGAGGUAAUGGCUCACCAAGACGACGACGGGUAGCCGGCCUGAGAGGGCGACCGGCCACACUGGGACUGAGACACGGCCCAGACUCCUACGGGAGGCAGCAGUGGGGAAUAUUGCACAAUGGGGGAAACCCUGAUGCAGCGACGCAGCGUGCGGGAUGACGGCCUUCGGGUUGUAAACCGCUUUCAGCAGGGAAGAAGCGCAAGUGACGGUACCUGCAGAAGAAGUACCGGCUAACUACGUGCCAGCAGCCGCGGUAAUACGUAGGGUACGAGCGUUGUCCGGAAUUAUUGGGCGUAAAGAGCUCGUAGGUGGUUGGUCACGUCUGCUGUGGAAACGCAACGCUUAACGUUGCGCGUGCAGUGGGUACGGGCUGACUAGAGUGCAGUAGGGGAGUCUGGAAUUCCUGGUGUAGCGGUGAAAUGCGCAGAUAUCAGGAGGAACACCGGUGGCGAAGGCGGGACUCUGGGCUGUAACUGACACUGAGGAGCGAAAGCAUGGGGAGCGAACAGGAUUAGAUACCCUGGUAGUCCAUGCCGUAAACGUUGGGCACUAGGUGUGGGGGGCAUUCCACGUUCUCCGCGCCGUAGCUAACGCAUUAAGUGCCCCGCCUGGGGAGUACGGUCGCAAGGCUAAAACUCAAAGGAAUUGACGGGGGCCCGCACAAGCGGCGGAGCAUGCGGAUUAAUUCGAUGCAACGCGAAGAACCUUACCAAGGCUUGACAUACACCGGACCGUCCUGGAAACAGGUCCUCUUCUUUGAAGCUGGUGUACAGGUGGUGCAUGGUUGUCGUCAGCUCGUGUCGUGAGAUGUUUGGGUUAAGUCCCGCAACGAGCGCAACCCUCGUUCUAUGUUGCCAGCAUGGGGAUGGUGGGAACUCAUAGGAGACUGCCGGGUC